AUCAACGGUGAUAAUAAUAUUAUUAUUUUAUUUUUUUUUGUUUUUGUUUUUGCUACUGGGCGAAUAGUUUACGACUGCUAGUUGCAAGCCGGGAAGUUGUCAGACUCUGCAAAGAACACCGGAAUAGGUAAUUGAAUCUCACUGUGUGGCAUUCGCCUAGCCGAAAGAUCCGGAUAACAAGAAACAAAAGAAGAAGGUAUGAAAAACUACGCAUAUCUAUGUUUAGUUGAGAUGAUUGCGCAUUCACGCAACUUUUCCUUUUUUUCAACUCCGGACGGGAUACGCCAGUCCCGUAAUCCAAUCAAUCUCGUAAUCCUUGCAAGUUUGCGGGGAUUUGAACUUUGCUAGUCAAACCCUUCCUUUUCGAUUCUACAGUCUUAUUGAAUACGAAGCUCGAACACAAUAUCCCAGCACAUGUCAACUCAGAUGUUGAAUAAAAUGAACUCAAAACAAACCAUCACGUUGCUGGCUCUGACGGAAUGCACUGUAACUCACGUGGAUCAAUCUACUCGUGUACACACACACAAAAAAAAGUCUGCCGACAGACGAGAAAAUCAACCAAAAUAAUCAAAUAAUCCAUCAACUUAACCACACGUAUUGUACAUGCUGGCUCAACCGCAAGAAUAACUCGCAAUUUCGCUUAAUGUCCACACAGACAUCAGAUGAAAAGCAAUAUCAAAAUUCGCAUGAUAAAAACUUUUUCAUACUUUUUGCCCCUCGUAGACGAUUUUUCAUUUGACAGUAGGUGAUCUCUUAUCCCCGUCUCAACAUAUUAAACAUCGUUCAUCACAGAAAAAACGGCAUUGCGGUUCCUGCAAUCCAGAGCGUGCGCCAACGAUGCACGAAUGAUGAACGGAAACGCAUUCUAUAGUGGGAAAAUGAGAAUUUUUGUUGACUCACGGAAGAAAAUUUCAAAGCAAAGUGAUCUCACUAUUAAAUGAUCCGUAGCACACGCAUGCCGAGUGGGACGGCAACCGUGUACAAGGAUAUAAAUGGGAAUCUCAAAUGUAAGGUUGCGUCGUUGCCAAGCUUUUAAAGUGUGUUUCAUCACAGCAUAAGAAUAAUAGCACUCUCAUCGGAGGGGUUAUUGACAUUCUUGACAUUUAGCACUAUACAUUCGACGUGGCAUUAAUAACUCCUAAUGAGGGGCAACAUCAACGUUUUCGAUGUAAAACGAGAGUGAGGAGUUGAAGAAUACUCCAUUUCAAAACUUGAUUUCGUUGAAGAUCAUUUUCUUGUUAUAGAAUUACAUUUUUGUUUAAAACAUUUUUCAGUUGGAUACGGAGCGAGACUUGAUCAGAUUGGUAGGAAAUGUAGUUUGCUAUCAGAUUUUCAAGCCUGGCAAUCUAUUAAAGCAAAAGACGUGAAUAAACGACGGAUACCAAGAAAAGUCUGCAUACUAACACGUUUUUUGGCCAUCGCAAUUUCACGUAAAGAUAUUUAAACUACAAAGAAUUUGCAAAACGUCACUGUUUUUGGAUUACAUCUUUUUCGUUUCCACUCCAAAAAUGGGGAUUUAAAAAUCGUUCAACACUAAGCCCAACUCUAUGAGAAAUCAAUACAGAAACGGGAAGGUUUCCUGUCCUUAUGAGUUGGCGAAAAGGAUCAGUUUGACGUCCUAAGAAGCCUCAAAUUUAUCAUCGAGUUUGCGACACGCCCCUAUUAAAUGAAGCGUGAAAAGCAACAGCCAAGAGAAAGACGAGGCGACAGGAUGGCGUAAAUUUAUGUCAAGCUCACAUGCGAGUAUUGGACGGCACGAUGCCGGCGGAUGCCCAGCCUACACGCGGUGGAUGCGACUGAAAAGUACAAAUGUUCUCAGGGUGCUGUAAGUCAACCGCCUCUUUUCUAAGUGCGUCUCGCUCUAUUUCAAAAAUUCUAAAAAUGGAAAUAAAUCCCCAAACCCAUUGAACAAUACUAGAAUAGAAACAGACCAAAGAGGAAACAAAAACAAAAUGCUAAUUUAGACUUGUACGACGCAGGAUGUUGUAAACAUAACAA
rnacentral:lncRNA from 1 species